rnacentral:rRNA from 1 species
CUACGUGCCAGCAGCCGCGGUAAUACGUAGGUCCCGAGCGUUGUCCGGAUUUAUUGGGCGUAAAGCGAGCGCAGGCGGUUUGAUAAGUCUGAAGUUAAAGGCUGUGGCUCAACCAUAGUUCGCUUUGGAAACUGUCAAACUUGAGUGCAGAAGGGGAGAGUGGAAUUCCAUGUGUAGCGGUGAAAUGCGUAGAUAUAUGGAGGAACACCGGUGGCGAAAGCGGCUCUCUGGUCUGUAACUGACGCUGAGGCUCGAAAGCGUGGGGAGCGAACAGGAUUAGAUACCCUGGUAGUCCACGCCGUAAACGAUGAGUGCUAGGUGUUGGAUCCUUUCCGGGAUUCAGUGCCGCAGCUAACGCAUUAAGCACUCCGCCUGGGGAGUACGACCGCAAGGUUGAAACUCAAAGGAAUUGACGGGGGCCCGCACAAGCGGUGGAGCAUGUGGUUUAAUUCGAAGCAACGCGAAGAACCUUACCAGGUCUUGACAUCCCUCUGACCGCUCUAGAGAUAGAGUUUUCG